GUAAAAGUGAAGUCAACUAUCUCACUGCAUUAAAGUUUAACAAGCAUGAGGACCACACCACUUUUAUUCUAAUCUUUCCAAAAUCUAACAAAACAAUGCACCGAGCCCCAACAGCAGACAACACAUCAGAUUGUGAUCGCUGCAUACAUCAUACUGAACAUUGUGCUUUAUGUUGCAAUAACUGGUCUAUUAAAGAUCAGCCAUAAACUAUUCACAAAAAAUCCUAAAUAUCAGAAUGUUGGACAAGAACAGAUUCUCAAUGGCGAUCUGUAUACAGAAGUGGAGUUUUGUUUGUGUGACAAAGGCGAAACAUCCAGUAACAAACAGAAACAAAUAACAAUACAGCCAUAAAACAUAUCAAACUGUUUAUAGAUUCCUGUUAUGAGACUGAAGUCAAGUCAAGAGGAUUUAAAAUAAUUUAUUAGACAUGCUCCCGGUUUCACAGACAUGACUUAAGGCUAGUCCUAGACUAAAACACAUGUUUGAGUUGUCUCAAAAGGAAAUAACUUGCACUGCCAGAUGUUAAAAUAUGCCAGUGACAUUGAUUUGUCACAAGAUACACACCAGUAACGUAUUAUAUCUAAGACAUGUUUAUAAAAGAUGCUUAAACAUUUUAUUUUAACUAAGGCCUAGUCCUGACUUUAGCGAAGCCUUGUCUGUGAAACCAGGCCAUGAUGUUAUGAUUUCCUAUUUAACAUCAUGUAAAACCAAAGUGUGCAGUAUAUGGCCUGUAAACUUUUAUUUUGUAAUUAUACUGUUAUUUGUUCUUUGCUUACUUCUUGUUCGUGUCCCCUGCGCUGUCAUGAUUGGCUGGACAUCUGUUUACUCUAAAUAAAUGUUUAUUUGUCUUUUAUAUUAUUCUACAUUUCUUUUAUAUAAUGCAUAUUUACUGUCUCUCUCUGUAUCUCUGAUGUUUUAAACGUAUGGUUUUGUUUUGGUACAUGUGUGACUUUACAGAUGCCUCUUAGUCUCUGGAUUAAAUUAACAUCAUUUUAUAAAUCAAUGUACUCAAGU